GUCAACUUAUCGGGAUCACAUCCUCUCAACUUCAUCAAGUAAAAGACCUCCAAUGCGAGCCUCGUAAGAUUAAAUUUCAUUAAGCUUUCCAACAAUGCAACAAAGCCUUCAAUGUGAGGUUCUAAACUACUUUCCAUUUUCAAUGCCAUGAUAAGACAGCUGAUAUCUUCAAGUAAUCCGUUGCUUCCCAAACAGGACACAAUUUCAGCAUACAGUUUGAGCUGCGGUCUAUAGGAUGUCUCCUUCUGAACUUCCUCAAAAACCUUAAGAGCUAAGAGGCAUUGAUUCUGGCGGAGAAGUUCACGGAGAACAGCUAUCAUAUCAUUCUUAAUCAAACGCCUGACCUUGCUAUUAAACACCUGUUCCACCGCGGAGUCAUCGUUUUUGUUGGCAACCCGCUUCAGUGCCUGAACAGUCUGAAUGGCUUCAAUACUUAGGUUUCUCCCUUUCUGCAAGGGUUUUCGAUUUUUGCUCCUGUCUCGCAUACUAAUUCUCAGAUUUCCACCACAUUUAGACCAAAUCCCGGACGCUACUGAACUGAAUACGAUUUCCGGUAUAUGUCGCCCGCCGUGAAUCCCUGUGUCAAGUGGAUACGCCG
rnacentral:misc_RNA from 1 species